UACGUAGGGUGCGAGCGUUAAUCGGAAUUACUGGGCGUAAAGCGUGCGCAGGCGGUUUUGUAAGCCAGAUGUGAAAUCCCCGGGCUCAACCUGGGAAUGGCAUUUGGGACUGCAAGGCUGGAGUGUGGCAGAGGAGACUGGAAUUCCUGGUGUAGCAGUGAAAUGCGUAGAGAUCGGGAGGAACACCAGUGGCGAAGGCGGCCUUCUGGACCAAUACUGACGCUCAUGCACGAAAGCGUGGGGAGCAAACAGG
rnacentral:rRNA from 1 species